UUCUUAGGAUACAGGAUAACAUCUUGUUCCUUUAACAUUGUUGAAUUAUAUUGUUGAAUUAUGAAUUUAUAGUAGGUACACUGUAACCAUACUAUAUGAACUAUUUGUUUUUAUUUUCAACCAAAAAUCAGCUCUAUAGUCAUAUGUUUUUUACAUAUAUAAUAUCUAUAACAUCUACACAAACUACUUCAAUCAUAUGUACUAAUUUAAUGGUUCCACAGUUUUCUGGCCACAUCCAAUAUUUUGAGGCCCUCAGCCUGAUAGUGGAUAUCGGGCUGGGCUUCAACUUUCUUUCCACUGUUUUGGGCACAUUUGGCGAUGUGUCGCAGUUUCCUCCUUGGUAUGGCCAAUUGUGCAGUUUGUUUAUUGGCCACAAGGGCGCUCGGGGAGUUUAGUGUUAGCCUCCACACUCACUCCCCUUACCACAGCUGAUUUUCCCCUAUGCAAUGUCGUUAGCAAUCUUCCUUUUUUGUCGGUAAUACUGACAACACAGCCCCUGUCCAUCUGUGAUCAGCUUGUCUUGUUUGCUGUGUGCAUUGUCACACAUACUUUCUUGAGCCCACUUGUCCACUGAUGGGGUUAAAUUUUCUCCCCACCGUUUGACAUAGUGAGCUCUCUGCUUGAUCCAUUCCACCUGUCAUCCCAUCAAGCCUCCUCACGCUGCAGGUGUAUUGCACGCAUUGCUUUGGGACUUGUUUCAGCUGUGAUUGGCCCACCCGAUAUCAUGUGAUGCUUACACGUCACACAUCGGGUUAGGACAGCCUAUUUAAACGGCAUUUUGCUGCACACCCAGUGCAGAAUGCCGCAGGGUCAUAUGUUCAGUGAGCACUCUUGUCCUUAAUGCUUUGCAGGUAUGUUAAACUCCUUUUGUGCUAUCUCCCUACAACUACACUGCUAGAUUUCACUCCAUCUAAUUGCAACUAUGCUUGCUGUGUAUGCUCUUUAGUUCCCCUUCUGGAUCAAGCAGCUGAUUUCUUCUGGCUUUAUACACACUAAGCUUAUUGUGACUUUGCAACACUGCCUGCGAUCCUUAUAUAGAUCUUAUACAGAUAUUUUGGGAAAUCUACAUGAUUCCUUCCUUGAAUUAACACUGCAGCUGGAUUGCUCAUUGAUGUCCCUGGUCUUUAACCCCAUAAACCGUUAUAUAUGAUCAUGCACAUGACCAUUUUCACCUCGGCGGUUUUCUGUGUUUGUCGCUAGUUGUGGGCAACUCGUGGGUAAGAUAGUGUGGUCUUUAAACUUUGGAACCAUUUUUUACCAUUAUAUGUUGUACCUGAUUUAAGCAAUUGGAAUGUGUAUCAUAUUUUACUGGUUAAUGCUUGUAUAUAUACCUUUCAGUUGCAUAUUUUGACUGGAUAUCGCUCCCUCCCCUGAAGAAGCGGAAGUCCGCGAAACAUGUAGGGUCUAUGCGAUUUCCUUUUCCAGUUGCAUCCAU